AGCUGUUGGUGGGGCAGGCAGCUUCCUCUUCACUAUCACAGGCUUCUGGCUGCACAGGAUGGCACUGGCUCUGUGGACCGCAGCCAAGUACAGAUCUGGGUGGUACAUGUUCUUCUAGGUCAUAUGCGUGAACUUGAGGGUGGCCAGUGUGUUGUUGAAGGUGGUCUGCACCAGGAAGUCACAGGGUUUCACUGGCCAGAUCUCUGCAUCCUGACCACCACUACACCUCUGCCAUAGCCCCAACUCCACGCCCACAGUCUUACAGUGAAUCAGCCCAUUGUAGCGAAGGAGUUGCAGCCUUCAGAUGACUGGGGUUCAUGCUGUAUGACUGCUUAUUCCUCUUGAUCAGGAAGCCAGAGCAAUUCCACUGGAGACCAUCCAUCACAGUUUUCCCUGUAGACAUCCUCAUCCCACUGAUUGGAUAUGAGGGCCUUGUGACUUGCCGAGAUGGGCCAUAAAUAGAUGAACCAUUUGCUUCAUCUGAGCAGAGGUUUUUAGAUGAGCUCUUGUGUUCUGACCUCCACCCUGAGACCAUCAAGUCUCAUGUAGUGGCUACUUCUUCAUCCUGGGUUCAGGAACGAGAAGACACAGGGAGCAUUGCCAAGAAGAGUCCAGCAGAGCUGCAAAUAUCCAGAAAUUUCAGAACUUUUAGGAUUGAAAAUUGAAACUUUCUUAUUUCUAACAAGUUAAAGAAUCUAAAAUUCAGACAAAGAUUGUUCACAGAUCCAACACACCCUUGGUCAAGUCUACUGAUUAGAUUAAUAUGGCCUUAGUAAAUGAUCUCAGUUAGACAAAUGGCUCAGGGAAAAGACACUAAAGGUGCAUCCAUCUGAAGCUUGAUAAGAUCAAAGUAUCUAUGAAGGUAUUUCUUGAAAAGUUAUGGGUAUGGCUAUUGACUCACAUGAAACUUGUUGGGAUCAAACUGAUUAAAAAGAAAAAAUAAAUUUUGUAGAGAGCUGUUGCCAAAGUACUCCCAGCCUGGAUUAGAAGAGACUACAACUAUUCAAAUCAUAAAUAACUCUUGGGUCCCUAGUCUUCUACAGGUGUGAAGCAAUCUGAGAUAGCCUGUCAGUCACAAAUGGCAUCUUUUCUGAUACUCACUUCAGAAGAGGCCAAGGAGGAUAACGGAAAAGGAAGAGUUGUCCAAUCAAACAUCGUGGAGAACACAGACUAAGAAAUGACUCCCAGAAAAUAUCACUGGAGCAAAUCAAGGAACAGUCCCUACCAUUAGUGUAGAGGAACUUGCAACUUCUGUUCAGUGGAAUAUCAGAACUGUUAUUCACCAGUGACUGGUCACUGAAUCAGGAAGAGCAGCCAGCAGACAUGAUAUAUAUUCACCAGAUUCUGGACAUCUGCGCCCAAUGCCUGAAACAUGAGAAGCAGAGCUGAAUGCUCAAUCACAGUUAUCCCAUCCAUCCAUCAGACAAGAUGGAGAUGAAGGCCUGUGCAUGGCACACAGUGCUGCCAGUCUUUGUUGGGCAUGAAGAAGUCUGAAAGAGCCCACUCUUGUACAUGACUCUGCUGGGAGGAUCUUUCCUAUGACUUACAAGGUUCUCUUCCUGCCACCUAGGUACCACCUGCAAUUGCUGGUCCAGAAUGCCCAUCCUAAAGAGAAAUGAUAGCCAGAUGGAAUCAUCCUGGGAUGUAGUAUACAAAGAUACUAUAAGAGAAAAGAUGGAAAGAGACAGAGCAUGGGGGCUAGGGAGCAGUGGUGUGGUGACAAAUUAAAAAGCAUCAGAAAUAUGCCAGAAAUGUGGCACUACAGCCCAGGCAAAAAUUAGCAUCAAGUCCAUGUAUCAUCAAGAAUUCACAAAAGGUAAUGAAGCUAUUGAUUGAUGAAAUAAGAAUUUUUCCAUUGGGCUAUGAGGGCCCAGGGAAGAUAAAGUGAAAUAAUAGGUGGAAAAAACAAGCCCUUAGGGAAAUAUGAGGGUUACUUUGGAAGCAGCACCAAGGAGAAUAGACACUGCUGAGAACACAUAAGGACAGUGGAGGACAAGAGUGAGAAAGUGAAAUGGCAAUAAAUGAGAAUUGGAAGGGAAUGUAGAUAAAUGAUCAAUAAAGAAGACACAUUCAUUGGAUCCAGAAUUAAUGACAGAGGACUCUAAAUCCUAAAUGGCACAUCUUAUUCAAAGGAAUACAAAGUUACAUCAGAUUGUCAACACUAAGACAUAGCGUAGUGAAGUCCUGAAUAUCCAAGAUAGAGAUUUCCUAACAAUGGAAACAUUAUAUAAACAGCACAAUUCAGAGAAAAAAAAAAAAAAAAGGAAGGUAAUGUAAGGGUAGAGACUUCCUUAACUUUCACAGCCAGGCAGCAAAGCUGACAAACCAGCUAAUACAACUUUUUAAAAUAUACAAAUAUAAUAAAAUAAUAAAAAUCAAAAUCAGCUACUAGAAAGAGUACUAAGGAGAAGUGGAAAUUGCUGAUUUCACCAUUAAUAUGGUAAGGAGUCAAAGAAUGCUGAUCAAAGAAAUAGAGGUCUUAACUAAAGUAUACCACAUGCUUAUUAAAACAAACCACUAGAGAAAAGUUUAUAUUAUUUUUUUCAUAUAAUCAGCAAAAAGCAAGAAAAAACACAGACCGCAUAGUGAAAUGUAGAAAUAAAAAGGUCAAUAAAAAAACAGAAGUGUAUCAUUAAUUAUGACAAAAAAUAAGAUCCAUCAAAUCCACUUUAAGAAAUGUAUCUUCCAAAUAUAUUCAUAUAUAUGUGAAUGAGGUAUGUACAGAGAUGUCUACUGCACAGCUGUUUGUAACAGCAAAAGCCUGGGAACAAUUUAAAAGUUUAUUAAUGGCAACUGAUUCAAUAAAUUAUACCACAAAAUGGAAUACUAUACAGCAGACAGAAAGAUUGACACAGCUUCAAAAUCAUAAUGUUAGGUUUAAAAAUAAGGUAUAGAAUACACAACCAUUUGUACAAAAAUUAUAUGCACACAUAACAUAUAAUCUGUGUAUGUGUGUAUGAGUGUAGAUACAUACCAUCUUUGGAAGAACAAGGAAAUUUGUAAAAACAGAUGUGACCAGACAGGGAAAUUGGGUCAGUGGAAGAUGAAGGCCAGAAGAGCACUUCUCAUGUACUCCUCUACACUUCCCAAACGGUGUAUGUGUGCAGAUUCUAACCAAAAUCAUAUCAAUUACCAAAUUGUUGACCCUAUUAUGCAAGUGCCAAUUUAUAAUAGGUUGGGCAUCAACAUAAUUCCCUACCUAGAACAUCUCUGAGAAUCCAGUUUGCCUGUGUCCCAUUAAAAGAUAAGAUUUUAUUUUGCCUUGGACUCACUUUUAGAACUUGACUUAGAAGGGACUUGAACGCAGAUGUCACCAUCAUCUAGAUAGAAAUGGUCCAGAUCACCAGCUAACACCUGCUUCAAGGGAAGGGUAGAGAAUGCCCAUCAUUUGUGAGCAUGCUGAUCAGACACAAGGAAACUGAGUUAAAUCAGAUUGAAGUCAUAGUUAUAGUUAGACAGAGGGGUGAUGUGUCCAGGAGCACUCCAGGACAAGCUGUGAAGCUAUUAUUAAGUACUCUUCAAUUUUUAACUUUAUAACUGAAUGUCCACUCCCACUGAGAAUGCCCUCCUGCAGACAUCAUUUGAAGUGAGAAAACAUUUCCUGUUUUGCCUGUAUUUUGUGGAUUUUUUUAGCUUUCUUCUCAUAGAUUAUAAUCUCUAGACCUACACCUGAGGGACAAUUUACACAAGAUUAUCCACACAGAAUGAUCUUCCACAAUUUGCUAUUUCAAGGCAUGAAAAAAAAAAAAAAAGAA